rnacentral:rRNA from 1 species
AUACGGAGGAUGCGAGCGUUAUCCGGAUUUAUUGGGUUUAAAGGGAGCGUAGGUGGGAUAUUAAGUCAGCUGUGAAAGUUUGGGGCUCAACCUUAAAAUUGCAGUUGAUACUGGUUUCCUUGAGUACGGUAUAGGUGGGCGGAAUUCGUGGUGUAGCGGUGAAAUGCUUAGAUAUCACGAAGAACUCCGAUCGCGAAGGCAGCUCACCGGGCCGGAACUGACACUGAUGCUCGAAAGUGCGGGUAUCAAACAGGAUUAGAUACCCUGGUAGUCCGCACAGUAAACGAUGAAUACUCGCUGUUUGCGAUACACGGUAAGCGGCCAAGCGAAAGCGUUAAGUAUUCCACCUGGGGAGUACGCCGGCAACGGUGAAACUCAAAGGAAUUGACGGGG